rnacentral:rRNA from 1 species
AGAGUUUGAUCCUGGCUCAGGACGAACGCUGGCGGCACGCCUAACACAUGCAAGUCGAACGGAGAUGAUUUGAGUUUACUUAGAUCAUCUUAGUGGCGGACGGGUGAGUAACACGUGAGCAACCUGCCUUUGAGAGAGGGAUAGCUUCUGGAAACGGAUGGUAAUACCUCAUAACAUACAGAUACCGCAUGGUGACUGUAUCAAAGAUUUAUCACUCAAAGACGGGCUCGCGUCUGAUUAGAUAGUUGGUGAGGUAACGGCUCACCAAGUCGACGAUCAGUAGCCGGACUGAGAGGUUGAACGGCCACAUUGGGACUGAGACACGGCCCAGACUCCUACGGGAGGCAGCAGUGGGGAAUAUUGCACAAUGGGGGAAACCCUGAUGCAGCGAUGCCGCGUGGAGGAAGAAGGGUUUCGGAUUGUAAACUCCUGUCUUAAAGGACGAUAAUGACGGUACUUUAGGAGGAAGCUCCGGCUAACUACGUGCCAGCAGCCGCGGUAAUACGUAGGGAGCGAGCGUUGUCCGGAUUUAUUGGGUUUAAAGGGAGCGUAGGCCGUCUUUUAAGCGUGUUGUGAAAUACUGUCGCUCAACGACAGAGGUGCAGCGCGAACUGGGAGACUUGAGUGCGCGGAAUGCAGGCGGAAUUCGUCGUGUAGCGGUGAAAUGCUUAGAUAUGACGAAGAACUCCGAUUGCGAAGGCAGCUUGCAGUAGCGUAACUGACGCUGAAGCUCGAAAGUGCGGGUAUCGAACAGGAUUAGAUACCCUGGUAGUCCGCACGGUAAACGAUGGAUGCUCGCUGUGUGCCCCUGGGUACGCGGCCAAGCGAAAGCGUUAAGCAUCCCACCUGGGGAGUACGCCGGCAACGGUGAAACUCAAAGGAAUUGACGGGGGCCCGCGCAAGCGGAGGAACAUGUGGUUUAAUUCGAUGAUACGCGAGGAACCUUACCCGGGCUUGAAUUGCAGGAGAACGAUACAGAGAUGUUGAGGUCCUUCGGGACUCCUGUGAAGGUGCUGCAUGGUUGUCGUCAGCUCGUGCCGUGAGGUGUCGGCUUAAGUGCCAUAACGAGCGCAACCCCUCUCCGUAGUUGCCAUCAGGUGAUGCUGGGCACUCUGCGGACACUGCCGCCGUAAGGUGUGAGGAAGGUGGGGAUGACGUCAAAUCAGCACGGCCCUUACGUCCGGGGCUACACACGUGUUACAAUGGGUCAUACAGAGUGUUGUGCGUAUGCAAAUACGUUCUAAUCAUUAAAAUAAUCCUCAGUUCGGAUUGGGGUCUGCAACCCGACCCCAUGAAGCUGGAUUCGCUAGUAAUCGCGCAUCAGCCAUGGCGCGGUGAAUACGUUCCCGGGCCUUGUACACACCGCCCGUCAAGCCAUGAAAGCCGGGGGCGCCUGAAGUCCGUAACCGCAAGGAUCGGCCUAGGGUGAAACCGGU